AGUAGGUCGGACGCCAUAUUGCCCUACGUAGUGUCUCGACAGUAAACAGACUUGUACGUCACUCUAAUAACAAGUUGGUACCUAGCCCCCCUUUGAGUACCUUGUAGACCCCACCCUCCAGCACCCCCGGGGACUGACCGGAAGCUGAAUGGGGUGAAAUACCUUCACUCGGAGACGGACGAGGAAUCCGAUGAAGUCUCGGCUGUUCGAACCUUCUUCGCAGACACAGAAAACAGUACAGGAAGGAAAAACAGAUGAAAUACUAUGUGUAUGAUUGAGAAAUCUAAGCAUCAAGCCUCCCAGUGACAAAGACUUAGCCAGUCCUGUCAAGAUAAAGCACCUUAAGGACACUGACACCUCGGUAUUAAGGUACGACUUGUACCCAAGACUGCGAACCAGUUAAAUGUGAACAUGUGUUCUCGACAUACACCGUCUGCAGUCACGAUAGCCUAACCGGACACUUUCCAGCUAAAAUAUCUGUCAUUUA